AAGGGUCAGGCCUGCCAUGUACAAGCCAGCCAGUGGGUGCUGGAGACGGGCACCCUGGGACACAUCAAAGGGUUAGAGGAAGUGACGAGGCUGAAAGUCUGUAUUUCCCCAGAAUCUCCAUCUCCCCUGCCCUGGCUCUGGGAGGGGGAGGGAGGGGGAGGCCAGGGGACUCACUCUUCUCAGACUUCGAUGAAGCUCCACUCCAGACGUCACUGGAGCAGUAGGGGAUGAAGCUGUGACACAGGGACGACGUGAGCCAUGCUCCUCUGUUGCCCGAGGACCCCAGGAAGGACCACCUUCCCCAGGAAGGACUCCUGAGGGACCGACCACGUACCGCUCAGGCACGGUGAGCCCUGGGAAGUUACCUGUGGAAUAAGAAUGAAGGGGGACUCCUGGGCACUCCAUGGCCUGCUGACCUGUGCGAGUGCGUGGCCAGUCCUUGGAGCUCAUGAGGCGCCUCAUGGUGUCAUACCGCGAGUCGCAGUUCUCCCGGUUGAAGCAGUACCAGCCUCCUGUGUGCACA